rnacentral:rRNA from 1 species
UACGUAGGGGGCAAGCGUUGUCCGGAAUCAUUGGGCGUAAAGCGCGUGUAGGCGGCCCGGUAAGUCCGCUGUGAAAGUCGGGGGCUCAACCCUCGGAUGCCGGUGGAUACUGUCGGGCUAGAGUGCGGGAGAGGCGAGUGGAAUUCCUGGUGUAGCGGUGAAAUGCGCAGAUAUCAGGAAGAACACCGGUGGCGAAGGCGGCCUGCUGGGCAGUGGCUGACACUGAGGCGCGACAGCGUGGGGAGCAAACAGG